rnacentral:lncRNA from 1 species
UGCUCAGCCACUAGUUGUUUCAUUUCUUCAUAAACAUCUAAUAGUGCCUUGUAGCUCAAUUUCAUAUAUUCUGGAAGUUGGUCUAUGCAUUUAAUUUCCCACAUAAAUCCAACUUCAUUGUUAUAUUCGAUCAUUUGACAUAAUAUAUUUGAAUGUUAAUCUCCAAUUAAAGAAAUCUAACCUAUUAAACAAAUUAAAAACAUACCUCUCAAUAGCACUUGUAUAGGGAAUGAGCUCAUCAUAUGUUGCAUAUGAGUCAUAUGUAUCAUCUAUAACAGAUAUCAUUAUUAUCACUUUUGCCAUCAUCUUUCUACCAAGUGAAUAGUGGGCCUCAAAGUACACUCCCAAGAUCCAAAAAUAACAUUCAACGACUCUAUCUUUUGUAUAUCGCAACUUUAUUUGAAAGUCUUAAUCAUUCCGCAACCUAAAAAAUGAAUCUUUAAAGGUUUAAUUAGUUUCACAUUCUUGUUGCGGAUGAGUAAAUGGUUAGAUUCUUGACUUAGGCUAAAUCUUUGAAGGGGGAGGGGAGAGCUCUCAGUUUUUCUUUUUCUGAAACUAAGGGCUAAAUGAUUUUUUUUUGUUUAAAAUUUGACUUUUAUAGGCCCCCAAAACGACGUCGUCUUGGGCAGGCCUCUCAGGCACCAAAACGGCGCCGUUUUGGCCAUGAAAUUGUUAUUCGACCUGCUCCAACCUUAGGAUCAACGUGUUUUUGUGGAAGGGUCUAUUUGCGCUUCUGGCCCUUCCACCCUUUUUAUUAUUUACAAUCAAGUUUUUUUAUUUUUUUUAUUUUGCCCUAUAAUUUAUUCUGGCUUCAACUUUAGUCCCUGAUGGAACUGUGCGUUUUGGAGUGUGGGAAUUAUUUCUCAUUCAAUCCCUCUAUCUUAUCCACGCGUUCAAUCUAGUCCUCUCUUUUGCGGUUAUUUCUAAUUUGCCCCAAAACUUUGUUCUAAAGCUCAAUUUGAUCCUAUUUUGUUAUUUUGGCUGUUCUAUUAUUAAAUUAAUUAAUUUAAAAUUAUUAUUGCUAUUAUUAUUUUACCUUAUUUAUAUACUUAUUAUUACUAUAGCUAUAUCAUUAUAUCAAUUAGUUUUUAUAUUAUUAUUUCCAUUUUUUUUUAUUUACUAACAUAAACACUUUAAAUGCAUUUAUUUUAUUUUAUCUACUUUUUUCUUUUUCCUCUUCAAAACUUUAGACUAUUUAUCAUCGUUAAUAUUAUUAUUUUUAUUACUAUAACCCUAAUUCCAACCCUUUUUUAAUGAUCAUUUCAAUAUUUCCUAGAUUAAUCUCUUUAAUGUUAUUUUGUGUAUUUAUUUAUUAAUUUCUUUUAAUUUUGAUAUCGUCGUGUUAUGUUUUUUUAUAUUAUUGUUUAUACCGUUAUUAUUCAUUAUUAUUGAUGAUUUUAUUGUUUCUUUGAUUAAUUAAUAUUAAAGUGACUGUCGAAACCAUUUUUUUACCGUGAAAAUGGGAUCGACUUGGAUUUUGAAAACGAAAACGAACAGGGGAGUCGCCACCAAUCUUUUUUGAUGAGGUGCGAUCGGGCCACCUCGAAAAAUGAUUGUUUUUAAUAAACGAUUUAAUUUUAUCAAAACAGCGGUUUUGGUCUACGAAAAUCAGAAAACGGGUCUGGGUGUCGGUUACAUACGAGGAAGGAUUAGCACCCUCGUAACGCCCAAAAUUGGUACCUAGCUGAUUAAUUAGUGUCUUAGUGUCGAAGAUUGAAAAUUUUGAAGAGUUUUUUAAAAAUAUGAUCCGUUCUACAAAACAUUGAGAAUUUUUGAGACAAAGACAUAUUUUCACGUUAAUCGAGAAAGAAAAUUACUUCCCGUAAGUUAGGAUGCAAUGCCUAAAAUUCCCGAUACAAGAAUGAAUACCGAAAAAUUUAUUUAAAAAGAUAUUCAAUUAUCUCGGGUUUAGAAAAGAAAUCAUGUCCUGUAAGUUAGAACCUGAUCUUUUGUUAAAUCCUAAGAUCAUAAAAAUUUACUUGAAAAGAUUCGUAUAUUUAGAUUUAUUGGGAAAAUCAAAAUCUCGUAAGUUAGGAUACGACUUUUCCAAAUCUCAAAAUACGAAAUGCUAUUUGUUUGAAACAAAUGUUGAUGUAUCGAGCGAAAUAAAGCACGAAGUCGUAAAAAAUGCGAAAAUAGAUUAUAUCGUUGGCAUGCAAGACAAGCAAUGAUAAAUACGAUGAUGCAAACGUGAAUAGCAUGAGCAACAACCAAUAAAAGAUAAAUAAAAGACGAAUCAAUCAUGCAAGAUAAUAAGUAGAUAAACUAUUCGAAUAAGAUGGGCAUAAAAUAAGAAAGUAAACACCGCGAGAAACAACGAAACCGUAAUGGAAAUAAAUAAAAAAUGUACAAUAUAAAAAAAUAAAUAUAUGUAUGUAUGUCUACGUAAAAUUAUAAAAAUAAGAAGAAUAUAUAUAUGUAUACGUUUAAAAUAUAAAAAUGUAGGUAAGUAUGUAUAUAUAUAUGUUUACGAAUUAAAAUAUGCAUUUAUAUUGUCGAACCAAUUUUUUUGAUAAAAUAAAAAAAAUUAGUUGUCGACUUAAAAAUGAAAUUGGAGUUACAACCGAUCCUUUAUUGAAGUGUGAUCGGCUCACCUUAAAAAUGAUCUUGGUCUACGAAAUUUGAAAAAACGAGUUCGGGAGUCUGUUACGCACAAGGAAGGGUUAGCACCCUCGUAACGCCUAAAAAUCGGUACCAAAUUGAUUAUUUUAAUGUCUUAGUGUCGAGGAUUAAAAAGAUUUAAAAAAAACUCAAAUGAUGAAAUCUGAAAAGGAUAAUCAAAUAUUUAAGUCAAACGAAGAAAUCGAGACUCAAUACGUUAGGGUACAAUUUCUCAAAAUCCCCAAACUUUGAAUAUCGCUUUUACUUUAUAGGAAAACCUUCAUUUCGAGAAAGCAAUAUGUCAUGCCCAAUACAUUAGGACACAACAAGUUAAGUUCCCGGAAAUGAUUUUUAUACUUAUGCAUUUUGAAUAAAGCAUAUACUCGGUUAUUUAGGAUUAAUAAAGAAAAUCAGAACCCAAUACGUUAUGGCUCAAUUUCUUUGAAAAUCCCGAAUAUUGAAUAUUGCAUUAUUUUAAAAGCCUUUGAAUCAAAAGAAAAUGAUUUUAAUGUUUUGACGAAACCAAAAUAUAUAUUUUUAAAAGGUAUGUUAAAAAGUUAAUGUUCAAUAUAAAACAAAUACUUUAAUUUAAAUUAUGCAUGUAUAUGUAUUUACAAAAAAUAUAUAUAAGGAUGAUAUAUAAGUGAAUUUUGAAAAUAUGUGUAUGCAUAUAUUAAAACUUGCAUAUAUAAGUAUACAUAUAUAAAAACAUGAAAUACACCAAACAAAAAAAAUAAAAAAAAACUUAUAAUAAUUCUACAAAAAAGGUAUGCAUACAUAUAUUAUAGAAAAUGCAUAUAUAUGUGCAUAGAUUAUGGAAUAUAAAAGAUGCAUACGUGUUAUAAAAUGUUAAUGUGUAUAUAUAUACAAAAGUCAUGAAAAUAAAACAAUAAUAAAAUAUAUAUAUAAAAUAUAUACAUGAGUUUACCCAAAAAAAAUGUAUAAGUGUAAUAUGUCAGUAAAUUAUAAAAUGCGGAAAAUAUAUUUAUAAUAGUUUUGAAUAGUGUAUGAAUAUAUAUAUACACAUAUUAUAAAACAAUGUAUAAACAUAUUGUACAAGCCCAUUUUUUUGCCCGGGACCAUCACCAAAAUUAAAUAACCCAAUACCAAAAAACACUAAACCAGCAAACAAACCCAAACAGACCCAAAUCAAAACAGCCCAAAAAAACAAAAAAUUAAAAGCCCAAUUAGCCCAAAACCCCUAAAACGUUUCAGCAAGCCCUAGCGCUGCAGCCCUCUUCCCCUAGCUCUGCUGGCCGCCGCACACGUCCCUUCAGCCACCUGCCCUCUGACGCCGCACCUACUCCUGUAAAAACAGAAGCAAAAAGAUAGAAGCAAAAAACAGAGGACAAUAGCAAAAAUGGCAUUUUUAUUUUUCUUUCGGCUAUAAAGCCGAUUGGAAAACAACAAAAUGGGGGGCUUCAUCACUGUAAUCAGGGGGAUUUUUCUUUUAUUUUUUCUUUUCGGCAAAAGCCGAGUUUGCUGUAAAAGAAGAAGAGUUUUCUCUUCUUUCGGUUUGCUAUGAACAUUAAGAUAAAUAAGAAAACCAAAACAGAUUUUUGAAGGUGACUUUUUCUUUUUUACGUUUCUUCCUUGUUUUAUUUUAUUUUUUUAUUUUAUCUUUUACAUAAGAAAUACGAAAUAAAAAGGUGGCAAAGAAAGCUUACCUGCGCCGCGCCGGAGAAAGGGGGAAAGCGAACGGUUUUCUCCUUUUCCUUCUGGUUUUGGCCCAUUUUUAACGAACCCAACCUCGAAUCUGGGUUCCCAGGAAUGAUCGGCUUCAAAUAGGGCUAAAAAGGCCCAUUCUUGCACCUCCGGCCGCCGUUUACGGCGGAGCCACGGCGGAGGUGAACCGGACCAGUGGCUGGAUUUUGGGGAAGAAGAUGAGAGGAGAGUUUUGAAUUUUUUUUAAAGAAUGGGGGCUGAAUGAAAAUUUUUCAGAAAAUUUGGGCUUAAAUACUGAUAUAAAACGGCACCGUUUUGAUAGGGUUAGGACAGCCCCAAAACGACGUCGUUUUGGGCUCCUGACCCGAGACCCGACCCAUCUGCCUUAGGGGAUCCGCGUGUUUUAACGGAAGGGCUAAUUACGCAUUUAGCCCUUCCGCUUUUUAAUGCUUUUAAAAUUAGGUUCUUUUAAUCUUUUGAAUUUUACCCGGAAUUUUAUUGCGUUUUCAAUGUAGUCCCUUCUGAAACUACGUCGUUUUAAAGGCGAAGGACAAAUUUCCUUUUUAGUCCCUCCAUGUCUCGCGCGUGUUUAGAAUUAUCCCUCCCUUUUUAUUUAUUUAUGAUUUGACCCCGAAUUUUAUUAAAUUUUUAACUUAGUCCUUUUGUUAUUUUGUUUAUUUUCUUAAUAUUAUAUUAUUAUUUCCUCAUUUAUAUAUAUAUACAUACUUAUAUAUAUUUUAUAUUUUAUAAUUUUUAUAUAUAUAUUUAUAUACAUAUACAUGUAUAUACAUACUAACAUAAACUUUCAUAUUUAAUAAUUUUGAAAUACAUAUAUACAUAUAUUUUUCAUAUUUUUAUAAAUUUAUGUGCAUACACACUUUUUUUUUAUAACGUAUAUACUUAUAUUAUAUAUAUACAUAUUAUUUUAUAAUCUAUAUACCUAUAAAUGUAAAUGUUUAUGCUUUUAUUUUUUAUAAUCCAUAUACAUAUCUUUUAUUUAUUUAUUUGUAUGUCUGUUAUUAUUAUUUAUUAUGCUUUAGAAUUUUUAUUUGCUUAUUACUCGUUAUUGUACAUACGACAUUAAUUUUAUUUAUAUACAUGUGGCUUCUUAUUUAUUCAUCUUUUAUUUUUGCUUGUAUUAUUUUUUACUUACAUCAUUAUCAUUGUUAUUCCAUUACACCCAUUUUUAUUUAGAUUUCAAGAAAGAAAUUUUAAAAAUAUAAGUAAUACUCGGUAUUUGGGAUCUUCAAGAGAAUCGAGCCCUAACGUAUUGGGUUCUGACUUUCUUCGUUGAACUUAAAUAAUCGAGAUUACUCUUUUAAAAAUGAUAAAAAGCUCGUUAUCGAGAAUUCAAUACGUUGUGUCCUAACGCAUUGGAUGUGACACGUUGUUUUCUCGAGACGAGGAUUUUUCGAAAUAAAUGCAAUAUUCAAUGUUUAAUAUUUUGAGAAAUUGUGCCCUAACGUAUUGGGUUGCGAUUUCUUCAUUUGAUUUAAACAAUUGAAUAUUCUUUUAAACUUUAUUACACGAAUCUUUUCAAACUCAAGUUUUAAACGAUAUCGAGAAUUAAAAAAUGAUCGUGUCCUAACUUACUGGUCGUGAUCCCUUUUUUAAUCCAAGAUAGUUAAAAUAUCUUUUAAAUAAGCAUUUUUCAUUCGCGUAUCGGGAAUUCGAGACAUUAUGUCCUAACUUACUGGAUAUGAUUCUCUUUCUCGAAUAACAUGAAAUAUGCCCCUUUUUUUGAAAAUUUUUAACGUUUUAAUACAAGGAUCGUAUUUUUUUAAAAUUCUUCAAAGUUCUCAAUUUUCGAUAUUAAGACAUUAACUAAUCAACUAGGUACCAAUUUUGGGCGUAUCGAGGGUGCUAAUCCUUCCCCGUGCGUAACCGACUCCCGAACCCGUUUUUCUGAAUUUCGUGGACCAAACUUGUUGUUUUAAUAAAAUCAAACCGUUUAUUAAAAACAAUAACUUUUCGAGGUGAUCCAAUCAUACCUCAUAAAAAAGGAUUGGUGGCGACUCCCGUUUCAUUUUUCAAAACCCAAGUCGACCCCGUUGUCAAAAAAAUGGUGUCAACACAUAUAUAUAUAGAUUAUAAAAUAUGGACAAUGUAUAAAUAUUAUAAAAUAUAACUGUAUAUACAUAUAUAUAAAAACUAUGAAAAUAAAAUAAUAAAAUAAUAAUAAAAUAUGUAUAUGUAUUUAAAAACAUUUAAAAUAUAUACAUAUAUAUAUUAUAAAACACAUAUGCGUGUAUAUAUGUAAGUAUAAUAAUAAUAAUAAUAAUAAUAACAAAAUUAAUAAAAUAAACUAAAAAAAAACCUAAAAUGAAAGAUUAAGUAUUAAAUUGAAAAAAAACUGAAGUUUCAGGGGAAAAUCUGAAAUAAAUAAAACACCAGUGGAUCAAAUAGAACAUGCAGUAAAUGGUGGAGGACCAAAAGUGAAGUAAAUCCCGCCCUCUAAUACGCUGCGCAGCAACCCGGAUUUAAUUGAAACAAAAAUAAAAUAAGUUGCAAAAUUUAAAAUAAAUAAAAAACAAUUUAAAAACACCAUAAAAUAAUAAGGACUAAUUGGAAAAUAGUCCAUUGAAAAUAAAAUGCGGAUCUUAUGAAAGUAGGUCAAGUCACACUCGGGUAUAGGCAAAAUGGCGCCGUUUUGGGGCCACUGAAAGAGGCCCCAAACAACGUCGUUUUAAGCCCUAUAAAUUCCAAUUUUAAAAAAACCCUAAAUCAUUUUCCCCCCUCUGCCAUUUGAAGUUGCGCCGUGGCCUUUCCUCUCUGCCAUUUCAGACCCCUCUCGCUCCGAUGACGACGAAACGAAGAGGUCCUCCAGCCACACUCACAAUGGUAAGUUCUCUUUUCCCUUUCCUUUCCGUUUUAUGCACAAAGCAAUAAAUCAAAAAAGAAAAAAUGAAACAAAACUAAAUUAAAGAUCACCUUCUGCCAAAACUUUUCCUUUUUCUUCUAUUUCUUUUCAAAAAAUGUUUUUUUUCCUUCAAUCGUUGUAAACCUUUUACAAAAACCGAUUGGCCCUUUUUUAGCCGAAUCCUUACAACUCAAAUAAUAAUAAUUUUUUAAAUAUUUUCUCCCUCUUUCGUUUUGCUUGCUGUUCGUGGUUUACUUGUUGCAGGUACGUGCGCGUGUGGGGGUUGCUGCUACGUGGGGCGUGCACGGCGCUGGAGGUUGCUGCGACGUGGGGUGGCUGCUGCUAACUGCUGCUUAGGGUUAGGCUAGGGUUAGAUUUGGGUUUGGGGUAGUGACUUGGGCCUUAUUGGGCCAAACGUAAUUUGGUCAGAUUAGUUAAUUUGGGCCCCGGGCAACAAUUGGGUAUUACAUAUAUAUGUACACAUAUGUAUAUAAAAAUUAUGAAAUGUAUAAAAAUAUGAGUGUAUGUACGUAUAUUUUUAUAAUAAUAUUCAUAAAAGUAUAAAUAUAUAUAUACUUAUCAUAAACAAAAACGUAUUUUGAAAUUAAUUAUAAAAUAUGUAAAACAUAUUUAAUGUAAAAUGUACACACAUUUGUAUAUUAAGAUAUAUGUAUAUGUAUUUACAAAAUAAAAAAUGUAUAGGUAUGAUAUAUAUAAGUAAAUUAUGAAAAUAUGUAUAUGUAUGUAUAAAAUAAAUGAAAUAUGCAAAAAAUAUAUUUAUAAUAAUUUAAAAAAGUGUACGUAUAUAUGUAUAUUACAAAGAAUGUAUGUAUAUAUAUGUAUGAAUUAUAAAAUGCCUAUGCAAAUAUAUAUAUUAGAAAUACGUACGCAUAAGUACAUACAAUACUAAUACUAUUGUAUAACAAUAAUAACAAUAUUAAAAUAAUUAAUUUGGAAAUAAAAUAACUAAUGAAGGAUUAAAUUGAAACCCAAGUAAAAUUUGAGGACCGAAAUCAAAGUAAAAAAGAUGAGAGAAACACAUAAAAGGGUUAAGUCAGGGCAUGUGUGAAAGGAGGGGGCCUGAUUGGGAAAAUAUCCCCAGCCUCAUGCGCGUCGUUUCACAUAGGACUAAAGUGAAACAUACGAAAAAAAAAUGCGGCCGAACAAAAAAAAACGGGACCAGAUUGCACUAGGGCGCAAAAGAGGAGGGUCCACGCCUGCAAAUAUCCCACCCAAAUAGAUGCACGCUGAUCCUCCCACUGGGUCAGGUCACCGCGCAGGUCAAAGGACUAAACAACGCCGUUUUGGCGCUGGUACCUUUUCCAUAAAACGUCAUCGUAUUGCGUUAUUAUUUAAACAAAAAUUUCUUUAAAAAAAAAACAUAAGCCAUAUGCCCUCAAAACAAAAGAAUUGUUGCUUCUUUUUCUCUGCUAGGGUUUUUAACCCAACCUCUGCCGCCGUGCCUCCAUCACAAUUCCACCGUGAACAGUGGUUGGAGCCGCACCACAAAAGGCUUUUUGGUUCCCUCUCGUGCGGAUCUUCAAGGCGUCGCAAGGUAAGCCUUCUUUUUUACUCCUUUAUUUACUAUAUUUUUUUUGAAUGUAAACAAAGAGAAAAAGAAAAACGAAAAUCUACCUUCAAUCUAUCUUUUUUGUAUUCUGAAAUCUCUAUUUCAAAUAUUUUUCUGUUUUUCUAUUUGAUUCGUGAAAAAUAAAACCCUUUACAAAUGCUACAAUCGGCUUUAUAUAGUUGAAUAUUACAGAAAUUAUUUAUUUUUCUUUUAUAUUUUUGCUAUUUUCUCUCUUAUGCUAGUGUUGUUCGUGGUUUGUUACAGGUGCACUGGAGGAGAACGUGCAUUGUGCAGGGGCGACGUGCUGCGACGUUGGUGAGGUUGCUGUGGCGCUGGUUUGCUGCUAACUGCUUAGGGUUCUAUGUCUUAGGAUAAUUUGGGCUGUUGGUAUUGGGCUGAAGUCUGUAUUGGGGUUGGGGUAAAUUUUGUUGUAAUCUAGACAUGGACCUAAUUUCAUUUGAUUUAUUAUUUUGGAUUUAUUUCUUACACGGGCCGUGCAAAUUGGCCUAUUACAAUGCAUAUUAUGUGAUCAUUGUUAUUUUACAUUCGUAUUCUCGUUAUUCGUCGUUUUAAUAUUUUGCUUGUGUAACAUUUCAAGUAUCGCAUUAAUUUUGACCCAAAUGCAUAUUUUUAUAAAAUAAAAAUACUUCGUAUUUUGGAAUUCAAAAAGAUCGUAUCCUAACUUACGGGGUCUCGUUUUUUUUAUAAUUCCAAAUAUACGAUCCAUUUUUUAAAAAAAACAUGUUUUUUAAAAAAUUGUCUUGGGAAUCAAAAAAGGACCGUUUUCCAACUUACGGGAUAUGAUUUCUUCUCCAAAACCGAGAUGAUCAAAAUUUCUAAAAAUAAAUAAUUUUUUGGUGUUUAUUCUCGUGUUGAGAUAAGAGAUAUUGUGUCCUAACUCACGGGAUAUAAUUUUUUUUCUCGAUUAAUGUGAAAUACACCCUUCUUUUUUUAAUAAAAGGCUCAUAUUUUUAAAUUUCUUUUCGAAUUUUUAAUAUGAAUGUCAUGUUUCAAAAACAGUACGACUAUCAAAAUAUGUAUUUUUUCACAUCACUUUAAAAUAUGUUAAAGUCAUCACAUUUUUACAUUUAACUUCACCAUCAUUUAUAAUUUUAUAUAUUUAUUUCGAAAUUUAAUGUAAAUAACUAAAUUGCUAAUUUUAAUGAUAGAAAAUUUAAUUUGCCCCUAAAAAGGAAUCAUUCAGCGUAAUGAAUUGCCUUAUGCUUAUAAACAAAAGAGAUACUUGAAUAGAAUUUUACUCAAAAUGGGCCCGAGCCUAAAAAUGGGCCUAAAAUUUUACUAAAGCCCAGCCCGGCUGUAUUAAUUUUUAUAUGAUUUUUAUAUAAUUUUUAAUUAUAUAUAAUACAUCAAAUAUAAAUAUUCCCCAAAAAAUUGAAAAUAAAUUUUAAAAAUUAUGUAUACUUAAAUAACACUAAGAUAGAUGCAACGUAACAAGCAAAUGUCUCUAAAAUAAUAACAAAAUUAACAAUAAAACAAGUUUUAUACAAUAUUCAAACAAUAACAACAAAAUAGUAGCAACGUAAUAGUAAUAUAGUAGCAAAAUAGGGAGAAAAAAAACAAGAAAAUAGCAUUAAAAAAUAAAAAGUUGAAAUCAAAAGGAAGAAUAGAGAUUUUACUAAACGUUAAGGCCUAUUAAAAAUAGUUUCCGUAAGACAGAUUCGGCCACUCCUACGGUACUUGGAGAAAUGUUGGUCGAAUAUCUCCCAAGAUACAACAACAACAAUGAUCAAAGCAGUAGCACCUCUGCAGCGAUCAACAAACGAGCAUGGUCUUUUUCUAUCACCGGAACGUUUGAAAAAUUCAGAGAAUAAAAGAAGAGUUUUGAGAGCAACAGAAAAUCAGUGUGAGAGUGUGGAAAAUAAGCAAAGAAAUCUUAGCCUUUUAUAGGCAUUUAGGAUGGUGGAAAUUUUGGAAAUAUCCACAAAAUUUGCCAUUAAAGGAGCCAACAAAUCAAAUUGAUUGAAAUCAAAUAAAUAAGAUAAAUGUCCUUCAAAGAUUAUCUCUGCUGCACCUUUUGGGCCCGAUUGGUCCUGACAAUUUUCGUCGCCUACAUCGUGUAGGUGCGCCCCAACCAUGUCAAGUUUGGACCUGCACCCACCCUACGUGCGAGACAAGGUUCCAAGCUUAGUUAUUCAAUCAUUUUUGAAGAAGGUUCCCAUAUAUAAACACAUCUCACACUUGGUAUUUAACCAAUGUGAGAUCUAAGCCUUUAUUUUUUUUCUCAACAAAUAUUUCCAAGCAGCUUAUGUUGAGCAUCGGUUUCUCAUUCAUUACUCAACCAUUUUGAGCAUAUGAUAUACCGUUGUAAAGGUCUCAUGGAGUAGAAUAUGAAACCAUAAUUUUAUGAUUCAACUCUCCACCUUCACCUGUUAAGAAUAUGCCUCAAAGUUAUACGAUCAAAGGACAACAAUUGAGACAACUUCCUAACUGUAAAUUCCCCGGCACUGUUGUGAAUCCAAAUUAUACGAUCCUCCACUUUCGGAUCAAGUUCGACACUCCCCACCAGAUUCUUCAAAUUAUUCAACAUACUUACCUCCCUAUCUAGCAACACCCUUGAGAAAACAUCCCUUCAGGGCACCUCUUCAAAGCCAUUAUUCCUUGCUACAUCUUUGACCACAAUAUUCUUCACAGUAGCAAGCCUGAACAAUCUAGGGAAUUCCACCUUCAAUGGACGAAUAUCACACCAAAUAUCCUCCCAAAAGAGGACAGAUUUCCCAUUCCCAAUCACCCAUCUAACAGAUUCCGACCCAAUCCAUUUUGACACUUCCUCUAAUUUUGAAUUUUCCACAAUACCACACCAAACUACCAACAUUGAUUUUGGUUUGGAAGUCUUAAAUCUCCAAUGUUGCAAAUGCGCAUCAUACUUCUUUGGGGGGAAAAUGGGAGGGAGUAAAAGUAAUGGGGAAAAGUAAAAAAUUUUGGGGGUUUGAGAUAAAUAUGUAAAAUAUUAUAGUUUUAUAUUCAGUUUAUUCGAAUUAUUUGAGUUAUUCAAAUUCGAAAAUUAAACUCCAUUGAACUCAAAAUUUGAAAAAAAAAAGUUUGAGUUGACUCGAUUAACUCAAAUAACUCAAUUCGUUUAACUCGAAAUUCAAAUUUUUUUUAAUUUUUUUCGAAUCGAAUCGAGUUUUGUUCACCCCUACAUAAUAUUAUUUGUAAUGAUCAAAUUUUGAUUAUUUCAUUACAAAAUAUAUUAUCUUUUUAUAAAAUUUAUUACAUGUGAUGUAAUAAAUUUGAUUGUAUAACAUAAAUUGUUUGUGUACACAAAUUUGAAAUUGACUACUAAUCCUUUGGGAUUGGCUAUAAAUUUGAGGUUUUAAUCGACAAUGAAUUUAAUAAAGAAUUCAAAGCUUAUCUCAAUAGACUUUAAGUCUUAAUUUUAGUAUUUAUAACUCAUGCUAUUUUUAUAUUGAAAAUAUAUAAAAUAGCAAAAUUUUCACAACCAAAAGCUUGAAAAUAACUUUAUUGAAUUAUUAAGGCAAUAAGUAGAAAGACAAUCGAUUUGUACUUUCUUUUAUUGUAUAAAUAGUAUAAGACAUUAUAGUUAAAACUUAAUAUCCAUCCUUUAAACAACAAGCUUAAUAUAAUUUCAAAGUGUGACUGGCUCAAUCAACAAUGAAGUGACUACAUCUUUGAUCGCUUUUCUAACAUAUGUAUAGCCAUCUCCUUCCUUGUAAAGCACAUCCAUUACCCUUGAAAGGUUUAGGCUACGAUUCAUAACCUCUGUCGGCAUUUCUGUUGGUUUCAGAAGCUCUUGAUUCGUAUCUUUCCAAGCACUCUCAAUAUAUUUGUUGAAUACAUCGUAUGUCUCCUGUGCUGUUACGUUAUAUUCUUUCAUGUAAUAGUCGAUUACUGACCAAUCGUCUUCUCUCCUCUGCUUGAACUGCAUUCGUAAUAAAAUUAAAAUUAUUCUAUCAUUAUAUACCCUAAAAUUUGUCAAUAUAUUAAACUUUAUUUGUAUAGUGAUGAUAAAAUACCUUUAUUGACAAUACUUCCUCACUAGUAACCCUAAAAUAAAACUAGGUUUUCUUUCUUAUUCGACUAAAAAUGACAUAUAAAUAUUAAACUUCAUUUGUUUCAUAUCAUGAUAAAAACCAUAGUUUGAUUUCAUUAAAAAGAUAUUUAAUUAUUGAGUUAAGAGUUCGAUUUCUUGUGAUUAUAUAAAUAUAUUAUUAUACCUUGUAUUCAGCAAUAUCAUCCAAACCUACAAAUAAUUGUGGAAGCUUGAAUGAUCUUAGGUUCACUGGCUGCCCAUUUAAAGGUCUCUGGUGUUACGAUAUCUCCCAUACCGACGAAAGAUGUAAUAGCAAGCGUGGCAUAACCACAAGAUGACAAUGCAUUAAUCUUAAAUUCCUCGAAUGAUGGUUUGUAGUUUUGAAGAGUCCAUUUGGCCUCCACAAAGUAGGAUUGAGCAAGUCGUAUCAGCUGAGGCAACAAAAUCCCAACAAUUAUCACUAAUAUCAAAUCAAAUUCUAUAAUAAUAUUUAAAUGACUAUAUAUUGUUAUUCAAGUUAAUUGUUUUUUCAGAUCUAGAAUUUAGCUAAUAUCUUAUCUCGUUUGUACCAAAUAAAUGUUUGUCGGUAUACAUACUGCAUUUUUCGCAUAUUCAACACGAUAUUGUCUUCCGUGCUCAGCCAGUAGUUGUUUCAUUUCUUCAUAAACAUCUAAUAGUGCCUUGUAGCUCAGUUUCAUAUAUUCUGGAAGUUGGUCUAUGCAUUUAAUUUCCCACCUGAAUCCAACUUUAUUGUUAUAUUCGAUCAUUUGACAUAAUAUAUUUGAAUGUUAAUCUCCAAUUAAAGAAAUCUAACCUAUUAAACAGAUUAAAAACAUACCUCUCAAUAGCACUUGUAUAGGGAAUGAGCUCAUCAUAUGUUGCAUAUGAGUCAUAUGUAUCAUCUAUAACAGAUGUCAUUAUUAUCACUUUUGUCAUCAUCUUUCUACCAAGUGAAUAGUGGGGCUCAAAGUACACUCCCAAGAU